ensembl:lncRNA
CACAGCUAGUAAUUAAGGCUGCCGGCAUUAGCCACAGUAAAUAUAAAGUAUCAUGUGGAUCAUGUUUGCGCUUAUGAGACGGAAGUGGAGAUGUCUGACAAGCCUGGUUCAGCCUUCUUCCUUUGUGAAACCCUUCUACCUCAAAUGUGCUCAUAAAAUAUGAGAAGUGUGCAACCUCCUUCGUUGUUACUGCCUUGGUAGGAUCAUCAUCCUGCCAAGAGAGAUAGUAUUGGUCUGGCUUGGACCCCUAAAGCUUCUCGAGUUUGCCUGCUGACAAGCUUCUUUAAAGGAUCAGAGUUGUUUAAAGAGAAUCCUCCUGAAGUUGCUGUCCUAUUAGAUUCUCCUCAGGCUCAAGGACUGUCUCAGUUACGUGGAUCAGGCUCCAGUUUUUUACAGGAUGUGCACAUGCCCAGCAUAAAUUGUGGACAGUUUAUCAGUAGCAAGACUUCUGGAUGAAAACAUCAUGGAAUUUAUUUUAGUUCCUUCUUAAAGACCAGAUCAGCUCAGAGAUGCGUCCUGACGAUGAUUUCUAGACUAUUAAUGCUGUUGCCAGGAUGGUACAACCAGAGUGAAUAUGCUGCACUUUUCCAUGGCCUAACACAGACCUAGAAGACUGGCAGAAGGAGGGCAGUUAUUUCCUGAUCUGUGCUGUACGUACCAAGGACAAGGGAGCAGCUGCCAAAAGAUUGGCACAGGAUUUUAAAGAAAUAGGAUCCUGAUGUUCAAUUUCUGAAGUUUUUUCAGGCACCUGGGUGACCUAUGUUUUCAUUUGCACCACGAACCCCGUCAUUCCUGGGAAAGACAACAGGAGCAGCAGGGUCCAUGCUGAAGAAAAGGCACAAUGCAGCCCAGAUUGUGAGACAUGCUGAGCUGAAGCCUGUUUCAUUCUUGCAGAGCCAAGAUAGAACUUGUUACCAAAAAAUGGGUAAGUCGGGCCACAAGGGGAAUAUAAAAUGUGCAGAAGGGAGGAUAUGCAUGCAAUCAGCACCCACACCCAGAGCGGCAAGGAAAGCAGCAUAUGAGAAGCUGCUUGGCUUGCCUUGCAUUUACUUUGUAAAUUUGGGGGAGGAGAGGAAGGAGAGGUGCAAAAGCAUGAACUGAAAUUGCUACUGCAGUCUGUGCUUUCCUUUAUAGGCACAGAGAUAAGAGCAAGCACAGGUUUGGCAUUUUAAAAUGGUAAAGAGGGACUAAAGAGAGCUCUGGAGUUGGAGACUACAACGCCUGCCACUACACGUGUCUCACUUUUUUUCAUGAACUAUCCCGGCUCCCUUAUAAGGGUAAUUAGCUUGGAUAUUGUCCCACUUCUCUCAGUAAAAAGUUAUUCUGGGGUCUCAUUGCUCUAAUAAUUAGAAACCAGGUGAGAAGAUGGGAGCAGCCAUGCUGGGUCAGAUCAGGGAUUCUUCGACCUAUUGAAUGUCCCAUGUUAGUUGGUAGCAUAUUUGCACAGGAAAAGUAAAACCUCUUGAACUUAUUAAAAGAAGUUAGGAAUAUAACCAGAUAAACAAUUAGCCUCUCUUGAAGAAAAUAUACCUACAAAUUAUAUUUGUG